UACGGGGGGGGCAAGCGUUGUUCGGAAUUACUGGGCGUAAAGGGUCUGUAGGUGGCUCGCUAAGUCAGACGUGAAAUCCCUCAGCUCAACUGGGGAACUGCGUCUGAGACUGGCAAGCUUGAGUGCAGGAGAGGAACGCGGAAUUCCAGGUGUAGCGGUGAAAUGCGUAGAUAUCUGGAGGAACACCGGUGGCGAAGGCGGCGUUCUGGACUGCAACUGACACUGAUAGACGAAAGCCAGGGGAGCAAACGGG
rnacentral:rRNA from 1 species